AGUUUGAUCCUGGCUCAGGACGAACGCUGGCGGCGUGCUUAACACAUGCAAGUCGAACGAUGAAGCUGGAGCUUGCUCCGGUGGAUUAGUGGCGAACGGGUGAGUAACACGUGAGCAACCUGCCCUUCACUCUGGGAUAACUGCGGGAAACUGUAGCUAAUACCGGAUAUUAGGAUCUGAGGCAUCUCGGAUCUUGGAAAGAAUUUCGGUGAAGGAUGGGCUCGCGGCCUAUCAGCUUGUUGGUGAGGUAAAGGCUCACCAAGGCGACGACGGGUAGCCGGCCUGAGAGGGUGACCGGCCACACUGGAACUGAGACACGGUCCAGACUCAUACGGGAGGCAGCAGUGGGGAAUAUUGCACAAUGGGCGCAAGCCUGAUGCAGCAACGCCGCGUGAGGGAUGAAGGCCUUCGGGUUGUAAACCUCUUUUAGCAGGGAAGAAGCGAAAGUGACGGUACCUGCAGAAAA
rnacentral:rRNA from 1 species